UACGUAGGGGGCAAGCGUUGUCCGGAUUUAUUGGGCGUAAAGAGCGUGUAGGCGGCCAGAUAGGUCCGUUGUGAAAACUCGAGGCUCAACCUCGAGACGCCGAUGGAAACCAUUUGGCUAGAGUCCGGAAGAGGCGAGUGGAAUUCCUGGUGUAGCGGUGGAAUGCGCAGAUAUCAGGAGGAACACCAAUAGCGAAGGCAGCUCGCUGGGACGGUACUGACGCUAAGGCGCGAAAGCGUGGGGAGCGAACAGG
rnacentral:rRNA from 1 species